rnacentral:rRNA from 1 species
UACGUAGGUGGCAAGCGUUGUCCGGAUUUACUGGGCGUAAAGGGCGCGUAGGCGGCCUACUAAGUCAGACGUGAAAUCCCCCGGCUUAACCUGGGAACUGCGUCUGAUACUGGAAGGCUUGAGUAUGGGAGAGGGAUGUAGAAUUCCAGGUGUAGCGGUGAAAUGCGUAGAUAUCUGGAGGAGUACCGGUGGCGAAGGCGGCAUCCUGGACCAUUACUGACGCUGAGGCGCGAAAGCUAGGGGAGCAAACGGG